rnacentral:rRNA from 1 species
UAGGGAAUCUUCGGCAAUGGACGAAAGUCUGACCGAGCAACGCCGCGUGAGUGAAGAAGGUUUUCGGAUCGUAAAACUCUGUUGUUAGAGAAGAACAAGGACGUUAGUAACUGAACGUCUUCUGACGGUAUCUAACCAGAAAGCCACGGCUAACUACGUGCCAGCAGCCGCGGUAAUACGUUGGUGGCAAGCGUUGUCCGGAUAUAUUGGGCGUAAAGCGAGCGCAGGCGGUUUCUUAAGUCUGAUGUGAAAGCCCCCGGCUCAACCGGGAAGGGUCAUUGGAAACUGGGAGACUUGAGUGCAGAAGAGGAGAGUGGAAUUCCAUGUGUAACGGUGAAAUGAGUAUAUAUAUGGAGAAACACCAGUGGCGAGGACGACUCUCUGGUCUGUAACUGACGCUGAGGCUCGAAAGCGUGGGGAGCAAUCAGG